GGGGGUGUCACUCAGUGGUAGAGCACCUGGCUUUGUACACAGAAGGUUCUGGAUUCAAUUCUCAGCAUGUUCA